GACGAACGCUGGCGGCGUGCUUAACACAUGCAAGUCGAACGGAAAGGCCCUGCUUUUGUGGGGUGCUCGAGUGGCGAACGGGUGAGUAACACGUGAGUAACCUGCCCUUGACUUUGGGAUAACUUCAGGAAACUGGGGCUAAUACCGGAUAGGAGCUCUUGCUGCAUGGUGGGGGUUGGAAAGUUUCGGCGGUUGGGGAUGGACUCGCGGCUUAUCAGCUUGUUGGUGGGGUAGUGGCUUACCAAGGCUUUGACGGGUAGCCGGCCUGAGAGGGUGACCGGCUACAUUGGGACUGAGAUACGGCCCAGACUACUACGGGAGGCAGCAGUGGAGAAGAUUGCACAAGGGGCGGAGGCCUGAUGCAGCAACGCCGCGUGCGGGAUGACGGCCUUCGGGUUGUAAACCGCUUUCGCCUGAGACGAAACGUGAGUGACGGUAAUGGGUAAAGAAGCACCGGCUAACUACGUG
rnacentral:rRNA from 1 species